CCUACGGGUGGCAGCAGUGGGGGAUAUUGCACAAUGGGGGGAACCCUGAUGCAGCGACGCCGCGUGGGUGAAGAAGCGCCUCGGCGCGUAAAGCCCUGUCAGCAGGGAAGAAAAUGCCGGUACCUGAAGCAGAAGCCCCGGCUAACUCCGUGCCAGCAGCCGCGGUAAUACGUAGGGGGCAAGCGUUAUCCGGAUUUACUGGGUGUAAAGGGAGCGCAGGCGGCGCGUUAAGCCUGUUGUGAAAGCCCGCGGCCCAACCGCGGGACUGCAUUGGGAACUGGCGCGCUGGAGUUCCGGAGGGGUAGGCGGAAUGCCUAGUGUAGCGGUGAAAUGCGUAGAUAUUAGGAGGAACACCGAUGGCGAAGGCAGCCUACUGAACGGUGACUGACGCUGAGGCUCGAAAGCGUGGGGAGCAAACAGGAUUAGAUACCCCUGUAGUC
rnacentral:rRNA from 1 species